rnacentral:rRNA from 1 species
AUUGAACGCUGGCGGCAGGCCUAACACAUGCAAGUCGAACGAGUGGCGGUCGUGAGUGCACUGUUUCGGAAACUGCCUGAUGGAGGGGGAAACCUACUGGAAACGGUAGCUAAUACCGCAAACCAUUGGAUUCGCCCAGUUGGGAUUAGUGUGUUGGUGUGGUAACGGCUUACCAAGGCGACGAUCCCUAGCUGAUCUGAGAGGAUGAUCGGCCACACUGGAACGGAUACACGGUCCAGACUCCUACGGGAGGCAGCAGUGGGGAAUAUUCCCCAAUGGGCGCAAGCCUGAUGCAGCCAUGCCGCGUGUAUGAAGAAGGCUUUCGGGUUGUAAAGUUCUGUCAGCGGGGAGGCGUUACCCAAAGAGGAAGCAACGGCUAACUCCGUGCCAGCAGCCGCGGUAAUAC